rnacentral:rRNA from 1 species
AUUGAACGCUGGCGGCAUGCUUUACACAUGCAAGUCGAACGGUAACAGGGUGCUUGCACCGCUGACGAGUGGCGAACGGGUGAGUAAUGCGUCGGAACGUGCCGAGUAGUGGGGGAUAACGCAGCGAAAGGUGUGCUAAUACCGCAUACGUACUGAGGUAGAAAGUGGGGGACCUUCGGGCCUCACGCUAUUCGAGCGGCCGACGUCUGAUUAGCUAGUUGGUGAGGUAAAGGCUCACCAAGGCGACGAUCAGUAGCGGGUCUGAGAGGAUGAUCCGCCACACUGGGACUGAGACACGGCCCAGACUCCUACGGGAGGCAGCAGUGGGGAAUUUUGGACAAUGGGCGCAAGCCUGAUCCAGCCAUGCCGCGUGUCUGAAGAAGGCCUUCGGGUUGUAAAGGACUUUUGUCCGGGAGCAAAUACCCAGUGCUAAUAACGCUGGGGGCUGAGAGUACCGGAAGAAUAAGCACCGGCUAACUACGUGCCAGCAGCCGCUGUAACAC